UACGUAGGGGGCAAGCGUUGUCCGGAUUUAUUGGGCGUAAAGAGCGUGUAGGCGGCCAGAUAAGUCUGAUGUGAAAACUCGAGGCUCAACCUCGAGCUGUCGGCGGAAACUGUUUGGCUAGAGUCCGGAAGAGGAGAGUGGAAUUCCUGGUGUAGCGGUGAAAUGCGCAGAUAUCAGGAAGAACACCUAUGGCGAAGGCAGCUCUCUGGGACGGUACUGACGCUGAGACGCGAAAGCGUGGGGAGCGAACAGG
rnacentral:rRNA from 1 species